GACGAACGCUGGCGGCGUGCCUAACACAUGCAAGUCGAACGGAAGUAAGAGCUUCGGUUUUUACUUUAGUGGCGAACGGGUGAGUAACGCGUGAGGAACCUGCCUUUCAGUGGGGGACAACAGUUGGAAACGACUGCUAAUACCGCAUAAUGUUUCCGGUCUGCGUAGACUGGAAACCAAAGCUUUAUGUGCUGAAAGAUGGCCUCGCGUCUGAUUAGCUAGUUGGCGGGGUAACGGCCCACCAAGGCGACGAUCAGUAGCCGGACUGAGAGGUUGGCCGGCCACAUUGGGACUGAGACACGGCCCAG
rnacentral:rRNA from 1 species